rnacentral:tRNA from 1 species
GGGCCCGUAGCUCAACUUGGAUAGAGCAGCAGCCUUCUAAGCUGUUGGUUGCGGGUUCAAAUCCCGUCGGGCCCA